UACAGGGGGGUGCAAACGUUGCUCGGAAUCAUUGGGCGUAAAGCGCACGUAGGCGGUCUGUUAUGUCGGAUGUGAAAGCCCUUGGCUUAACUGAGGAAGUGCAUCCGAAACUGGCAGGCUAGAGUACUAAAGAGGGUCGCGGAAUUCCCGGUGUAGAGGUGAAAUUCGUAGAUAUCGGGAGGAACACCGGUGGCGAAGGCGGCGACCUGGGUCGAGACUGACGCUGAGGCGCGAAAAGCGUGGGGAGCAAACAGG
rnacentral:rRNA from 1 species